ACCUUUCUAGUAUCAAAUUGUACAAAUGACUUCCAAUCAUUUAGUCUUGGUUAAACCCCAGGGAAAGGU
rnacentral:tRNA from 1 species